GACCUGAUAGCUCAGGGGUUAAGAGCACUAGACAUGUAAUCCAACUUAGUGGUUGCUAGUUCAAAUCCAGCUCAGGUCA